rnacentral:rRNA from 1 species
UACGAAGGGGCUAGCGUUGCUCGGAAUCACUGGGCGUAAAGGGUGCGUAGGCGGGUCUUAAGUCAGGGGUGAAAUCCUGGAGCUCAACUCCAGAACUGCCUUUGAUACUGAGGAUCUUGAGUUCGGGAGAGGUGAGUGGAACUGCGAGUGUAGAGGUGAAAUCGUUAGAUAUUCGCAAGAACACCAGUGGCGAAGGCGGCUCACUGGCCCGAUACUGACGCUGAGGCACGGAAAGCGUGGGGAGCAACACGG